rnacentral:rRNA from 1 species
AUGGCCGCAACGAAACUCGCCCUCGUCAUCCUCGUCGCCGCCACGGUAGCCUGCACCUGCAACAGCCAGGUGCAACUGUGUGACUACGAGUUUGUUGCCUCGACGUUCAAUGAAAAUUGGGCGGGCACGGACUCAGAUCUGACGUUCACCGUGUUCAGCACGGAGGUCGUGGGCGGCGUCGCCAUGAAAACUCUGCAAAGUGCCGCUGGUUCCAGGUUCGACGUGGGCAGUAAGACCAAGUUCACCAUCCAGGGCGGGCCGUGCGUGAAGCCAUGCGGCCUCCGCCUGGAGGUUCACAAAACCUGGUGGCUAGAGGUCGGGAGCGACUGGAAGUGCCGUUCCGUCGACCUCUUGGUAAAGCGGAACGGGGCGGUGCAGUGGCAUUUCUAUAUCAUCUUCAAUCAGUGGGUGAAAGACGGCUCCCCCGUGGAAUACAAGCCGGCGCAGUGCCCGAUCCUCUAG